GGGAGCCGUAUGACGCGAGAGUGUCACGUACGGUUCUGCGAGAGUUGCGCCUUGAAAGCGCAUGAAAUCCAGUUGCCUGAGAUGGCAACCGCGGCAAAGCUUAGCCAGCAGCCGUGUACCGAGUCUUGCGUGGUGUCCGGCAACGGCCACUGCGAAGCGUAGACAGGGAGGUUGUAGGCCGAAACAUAAGUGAACGGAAAGAUAGCCCCGAAAUCGAUCGUGGUUGGAGUAGCCGACUCUAU
rnacentral:ncRNA from 1 species